rnacentral:rRNA from 1 species
AAAGUCCCGUAACAAGGGCUCCGUUGGUGAACCAGCGGAGGGAUCAUUACCGCGUUUACAACUCCCAAACCCCUGUGAACAUACCACUUGUUGCCUCGGCGGAUCAGCCCGCUCCCGGUAAAACGGGACGGCCCGCCAGAGGACCCCUAAACUCUGUUUCUAUAUGUAACUUCUGAGUAAAACCAUAAAUAAAUCAAAACUUUCAACAACGGAUCUCUUGGUUCUGGCAUCGAUGAAGAACGCAGCAAAAUGCGAUAAGUAAUGUGAAUUGCAGAAUUCAGUGAAUCAUCGAAUCUUUGAACGCACAUUGCGCCCGCCAGUAUUCUGGCGGGCAUGCCUGUUCGAGCGUCAUUUCAACCCUCAAGCACAGCUUGGUGUUGGGACUCGCGUUAAUUCGCGUUCCCCAAAUUGAUUGGCGGUCACGUCGAGCUUCCAUAGCGUAGUAGUAAAACCCUCGUUACUGGUAAUCGUCGCGGCCACGCCGUUAAACCCCAACUUCUGAAUGNUGACCUCGGAUCANGNANGAAUACCCGCUGAACUUAAGCAUAUCAAUAA